rnacentral:rRNA from 1 species
UACGUAGGUGGCAAGCGUUGUCCGGAUUUACUGGGCGUAAAGAGCGCGCAGGCGGUCGUUCAAGUCGCGUGUGAAAGCCCCCGGCUCAACUGGGGAGGGUCACUCGAUACUGAUCGACUUGAAGGCAGGAGAGGGAAGCGGAAUUCCCGGUGUAGUGGUGAAAUGCGUAGAUAUCUGGAGGAAUACCGGUGGCGAAGGCGGCAUCCUGGACCGGCAUUGACGCUGAGGAGCGAAAGCCAGGGGAGCAAACGGG